rnacentral:lncRNA from 1 species
CUUAAAUGGGUGAUCCAGCCAGGUAAUAGUAUUUUGAGCCCUAAAUGAGAUGGUGCCGCAAAGUCAAGAGACAGAGUUUUGGUUAAUGCAUUAAUAAUAAUUGAAGACAGCCCCAGAUCAGAAGAUUAAAAAAUGUCCUAAGCAAUGAUGACAUCAAUAUGUAGUAAUUUAAAUUCAUUUGUGUUUGUUUUUCAGAGUUUAGUCUUGCUACUUUAUAGCCACAAGUGUCAUUUAAAAAAAAAGCCAACAACCCUUGUGUAAUUCUCUGAUUUAAGUGCUAAUAAACAGCAUAACUGUCUCCUCCCCCUGUCCCUAACUGUGAAGUUAUGUGAUUUUCAGAACUUUUUUCAGAGUUGGGCAUCUUUUCCUUUAAAAGAAACAACAGGAGAAAAAAGCUGUUUAAUUCCUGGAGAAGAAAUGACACACUUUCCUCCCUAAAGAGAGAAGGAAAAACAAAACAAAACCUGCAGUCCUCAACCAGCUUAGCACUAAUUUGUCUCUUAGGGAGAGAAGAAUUACUCAUUGUGUCUUUAUUGGGGAGAGGUGGAUAAUGCUAAUGAGAAGGUUAUCAGUCCUUUCUAUUUUGUUGAUAAAGAGUGCUGCUCUUAUUUAACAGAUGCUGUGCCUUCAAGGGCCCCCACUGUAGCAAGUAUAAUGAUAAAUAAGGUGUGAUUAUAAAUGGCAAUGACAUGUCUUCUCAGUGUCAGAGAGAAAAUAGGGCAUGGUGGGGACUACAGUAAACUGAAACCCUCCCAUCCCAUGUGCAGGGAGGAGCCAUUCCAUCCAGUUGUGACAGUGUGGUAUUUCCUGGUCAUUUCAUUUUUCAAAAGAUGCUGAGAAUCUUGAUUUUUUUAUGUGAAAAAUUAUCAUUUUUAAAAUAUCAGAAACUAAAUUAAAAUUUUUAAAUGAAUUCAGGCCCAGUGAAACACAUAGGUGGAUCUGAUACUCUGUCCACUAGCUGCCCGUUUGCCACCUCUGCUUUAUAAGUUUUGAAAAGAAAGUCAUUCAUGGUAAUUACAAAUGUCAGGGCCACCAGAAAAUGCUCUUGAUAAAUGUAACUGGGAGCUAGCUAGAUUACUUCUUUUACCCAUUGCUCCCCUAAAGAAAUUUGAUGCGACUGUGAUUAUAUUUGAAAUGUUUUGGUUGUUUCUUCACACCUCCUCACCUCUUAAGAAAAAGGCAAACUAGUUGUUAAUUUCAAAAUCAGAUUUUUGCUCUCCCAAUUAAAAAAAAAAAAGUCACUUGAAACAAUUUCACUUAAACUCCGCAACCUGAAGGACCUUAUUUAUACAAUGUGUAAUUCUGAGCUUAGGCCAAGGCUUAGUAAGGAAAGCAGGCAUUGUGAAGAGUAGGGCAAGGAAUCCUCAAUGUCCACUGAAGCCAGUUAUUUGCUUUGUCUUCUCUUUUAAAUGACCUGCGAAUUGAAUUGACUGGAGGUGCGAAACUGUAUAUGUAGAUAUCAGUUAGGAUUCCUCGUGGGUGUUGGGUCAUCCUUGCUGUAUCACCUCCUUUCCAGGGUCAGGGUGAAAAUAAACAAAAGGAAAUCUGAUUGUAAGCCAAUAGCUUUGAUUGUGAUUUCAGAGCUUUGGGGUUGGGAGAAAGUUUGGAUUAUCUGCCAUGUACCUCUCCUGGUGUCAGACAGGGCUGUGCAUUAUUUCAGACAUGUGGCUGUGGAUGGGAUUCUGGAUUUUCAGCGAAGGAGAUUCUGUAACCUACCCUCCUAAUCAGAUAGUUCUUUGUACAUCUUCCUUAUAGAAAUUCAAACCAGCCUUCUUUUGUUCGCAUGUAGUGGAAAAAGAACAGCUGGUCACCUUCCGUGUAUUUGAAAGCCACAGUGAAGUCACCCCUCUGGUGUUUUUAUUUCAGUAAUAAAUAAUCCUGUUCCAACUCAUUCUUCACAGGUUUGUUUUCUAGGGACUUCAUAAUUUUCACUGCUCUUCUGUUUCUUGGCUUUACACUCAAUUUAGUUGCCCAAAUAGAAUGUGGUGCCUUAUUCACAUUGGUGCCUUGUUAAGACCAGGCUCAGGAUGGGGAUUAACAGAAAUUCUUACACAUCUUGUCUUCUCUUAGUACAUAAAAAUAUAAAGGCACUUUUUAAAAAAUAUAUUACCUGUAUUCUUUUUGAAGGUUGACUGCCACAUUUUUUUUUUCCCUUUGGCAGUAGUCCUCUGUCAUAUGUGGGAUUUUUUUCCCCCUCUUAUGGUCAGACACUUAUUUCUGGAUGUGUUUAAUGUCAUUCCUGAUCUUCUCCAGGGUACUCUUCAAGACCAGCUCUGACUGAGUUGUUAUGGGUGGCAACUACCCCUCCCUUCCAAUUUUGGAUUCUAUUUUUAUGUAUCUCUAGAUAUCACCUUUAAUUCAUGACUCACAGUAUUAUUAAAUGGUGCAAACUUCUGUUUAACCUCAGGUGAGACAGCAGUUGCUAAGGAUUAAUUUGCUAAGAGGUCAAGGGAGGACUCCUUGGGAGUUUUGGUCGGUUGUCUUCCCUCCUGCUCUUUGGCUCCUCUCCAAAAUUCAUCCGGGACCACGGGCUCCUCAAGGAGCUUGUACUAAAAAGCUGGAGCCAUGGCUCUGAAUUGACCAAGCACUGUGGUUUGCACAGUCAGAAGUCUGACAAAAGCAAACCAUUAUGACUGCAUAUCUAAUGUUAUCAAAAUUUCAACGGAGAAGAUUAAGAAAAGCAAUUCUGUUUGUGUGGGACAUAGACACAGUUGGCCACCCCAGUUGUUAGAAUAAUUACCAUUAGAUUAUGCUAAUGUGUACUUGUCUGUUAUUUUAACAAGGUUUUUUUUUUUUUUUUCUGUCUCAAGAAAAAAAUGCAGUGCGUCUGGAGAGAGCAAAAACUUUUGUAAAAAUCAAAUGUAUUCAUUUAGAAAGUAGGCUACUUCUGUUUUCACUGUUUGUUUUGUUUUGUUUCUCAUUGCAGAAGCUCCCUGUUAAUAUGCUUUUUUGAGGAAAGCCUGUGGAACACAGUGGUUAUUGCCAUUGUCUUUGUUUCAUCUUUAAGUUUGUCCUUCAUGAGGUUUGGUGGAAUUGUGAGCACUGACUGACAGACUAGCAAUAUGCUAUAUUUUUACGUUGAAAAUGUUAAUGUCUUAUUUGAUGUGUACAUACCUCUGUAAAUAGGUGACAGUAGACCAUAGCUGACAUUUGCAAAAUGUUGUUUUUGUACUCUAGAAUUUCUGCAUCAAAUAAAUAAAAUGUUUUAACAUUUUUG